GCUUACGGCCAUACUACCCUGAAAAUGCCCGAUCUCGUCUGAUCUCGGAAGCCAAGCAGUGUCAGGCCUGGUCAGUACUUGGAUGGGAGACCGCCUGGGAAUACCAGGUGCCGUAAGCU
rnacentral:rRNA from 1 species